UACGGGGGGGGCAAGCGUUGUUCGGAAUUACUGGGCGUAAAGGGCUCGUAGGCGGCCAACUAAGUCAGACGUGAAAUCCCUCGGCUUAACCGGGGAACUGCGUCUGAUACUGGAUGGCUUGAGUUUGGGAGAGGGAUGCGGAAUUCCCGGUGUAGUGGUGAAAUGCGUAGAUAUCGGGAGGAACACCAGUGGCGAAGGCGGCUUCCUGGCCUGUUCUUGACGCUGAGGCGCGAAGCUAGGGUAGCAAACGGG
rnacentral:rRNA from 1 species